rnacentral:tRNA from 1 species
GGCAACUUGGCUGAGUGUUGGUGCGGGUCGAGAUUGAUGGUAGAAGUCUUUUGGGCUUUGCCCGCGCAGGUUCGAGUCCUGCAGUUGUCG